UACAGAGGGUGCAAGCGUUGUUCGGAAUUAUUGGGCGUAAAGCGCGUGUAGGCGGCUUUGCAAGUCGGGUGUGAAAGCCCUCAGCUCAACUGAGGAAGUGCGCCCGAAACUGCAGAGCUUGAGUGCCGGAGAGGGUGGCGGAAUUCCCCAAGUAGAGGUGAAAUUCGUAGAUAUGGGGAGGAACACCGGUGGCGAAGGCGGCCACCUGGACGGUGACUGACGCUGAGACGCGAAAGCGUGGGGAGCGAACAGG
rnacentral:rRNA from 1 species